CACGUUGCGCGCUGAUAUUUUCUUCUCUCCGGAGGCUAGCUUCCUCUACGCGACCGCUCGUCGCUAUCGUGGAGGCAGAGCAAGGCGAUCCAGAUUGUGCAUCGGUGCCAAAGGGAUCGCUAGAAUGGCCUCCACUCGCCAACGGACUCGUUCCUGAUCAUCUACGGGGUGUCCGUCCUCCAUCAUUUUCUCCUUUCUUCCCUUCGUUCAGAUGGGUUGCGAAGAAAACGGCUCGUUAAAGAAGAUUGGGGAUCGAUUUCCGUUUUUGCUGUGUGAUGAUUGAUGAACUCGUGACGAAAUGGUCGGAGUUUUCGGAUCUUUAAAUGGUGUUCGGGCGGAGCAAGGCUGUUUCCUGGAUCGGAGCUGGUGGUCUCCUGCUCCAAGCUCCCGAGAUGUUUGAUGGCGACUUGUGAUGUUGAUUUAUCGCGUCCGCCUAGUAUACCAUUUGCAGUGGAGGACCGCCUCAAGUAGACCAAAUUCCAACCUCAUUUGGUGGGAUAGGGCUUGACCAUUGAUGUUCUUGUUACAUUCAGGUUGAACUGCUGGGAGGCUGUGUUUGUGGAGACGGAGUAGGGAGGAACUACAUUAAUUGGCAAACCUGAUGAAUGCCUGAUAGAGCAGAGCCCUUUUGCCAGGUCCAUUGGAAUGUGAGUAUGAUAAAUAUAGGCCAGAUCUUCCAACCUUUCCACAAUACAGUUCACUGUGCCUGCUUCUUUACCUAUAGGAAAGAGCGGUGGCUAUGUCAGCUCCUGUCGGACAUACAGAUCACUGCAACUGUUUAAAAAUCGCUUGAAGUUGUUUUCAUGUGUUAAACAAUAGUUUGAGUUCUAGACUAAAGUAAGAACUAGACCCGUUCAUCCUUGAAAUUUAGUGAUGGACGAUUAUAUUGCUGUCCUCUUCCAUUCUUGACUAAUAUUCAAAUUCUUAGUAUUUCCAAUCGGCAGCAUGCCCUUGGGACUUUCAUCACUUCAAUGUGAAUUCCAUUCUUGGUUCCCGUCAUGAUCCAAUAUUGUGUCUCUUUGCCAGGCCUUUUGAUAUAUAAAACUAAUGGAUGCGUUUUUAUGCUUUCUGUAGUGUCCAUCUUUUUGUUCACCGUAGGAGGGCUCACUGGAAUAAUUCUGGCAAAUUCUAGGCUAGACAUUGCUCCGCAUGAUCCUCAUUAAGCGGUUUCAUACUUACAUUAUGUAAUUUCCAUGAGAGAUGUUUUCGAUUUAUUGCUGGAUUUCACUAUUGAGCGGGGUAAAAUCUCUGGUUUGCCAUAGCCUGAAAUUUUAGGCCAAAUCCUUUUUUGGAUUACUUUCAGUAGUGACGAUCCUCUAGAUGUAGCAUUUAUGUACUCCUCUUUCUUAAUUCUGGAUUUGGGGAUGCAUCAACAUGAGCAAUGACUUAUAAAAUUGAGCUUUAAAUCCUCUAUAUUUUCCUUUUGUGGAUAAACAUGUUUCUCACAAUUAUUAUUAAUCUCAAAUUGUCUGACGAUGUGCUGAUGGGUGCCUUAUGCACCCUCACAUGGAAUCUGCUGUUUGUACUUGGAGACAAGGUACAUGCUUUGGUAAUGCUUUAGAAAUAGUUGAACUCUCUAUGCACUUGCUAUUUUUUUAACUAUUGUUUCUUAUAGCAGCUUAAAUAGGAUUUUCCAAUGGUAAAUUGAUUUGCAUUUUAAUGUGUCAUGGUGGUUUACAUUUCUUCACUGAAAAGAUGUCCUGAAUUCAUAAUGGAUUUUCACUGCAGUUUCCUUUUAUUGGCUUGUGUUACUUACAUUGUCCAAAAUUGUGGACCACUAACUCCAUGCGAAUGUUUGCGCCUUCUUUAGUGACAGGAGGUUGCUUCUACUUAUUUGAAAAGGGCAGCCCAUUGCAUGAAUGUCCCACUAUGCAUGCUGUCCAGGGAAUCGUCAGACCACUUUGGGUCUAAUAUGCGCAGCCUUACCUUGCAAUUUUUUCAAGAGGCUGUUUCUGCGACUCGCACCCAUGACCUCCAGGUCAGUGACAACUUUAUUAUCUCUCAUAUAUCAGUUUGUUCCUCUGUAUUUAAAAAAAAAAAAAAAAAAAGGUAGAACAGCAGCAUAAUCUACCAGUAACAGUCGCAUUCGUAGAUCCCGACAAGCUUGAGAUGAGUAGGAAGUUGAAUGAAAAGUUGCUUCCUUUAUUUGGCAAAUAUAAUCAUACAUUGCAGUGACAUCCAUUCAGAGCAAUCUGAAACCAUGGGACACUGUAGAAUCACACCAUGCCUCUAGGUACAUCCACUAGAAUAAUUUUUAGAGUCAACCACUAUAUCUCACUCACGAAAGCUUGACUAUAGUUACUGCUCUGCUAACUGAUUGUCAUGAAUGUCCCUCUAGCACCCUUAGCAACAAACUGCUGCUAUUGUAGUUGCAAUCUGAUUUCAAAAGUAAAUAGUAAGAGAUCGUUUUUAAGGAACACUAGGUUAUCAAGAUUAAUGCUGCGCUUUUGGAAUUCUAGGUUACCCCAAUUUUGUCACUUUUGCUGGUUUUUCACUCUAUUCAGGCUGCGGUUGGCUUAACUGGAGAUUUAUGGGCGAAUGUAAGUCAUGCACGUCACUUGUAUUGUAUGACAUGUGGCAACUGUUUGCUCGAGUGACAUCUCUUGCCCCGUAAACCUGACACCAAAGCAUCCAUUUUCUUUAGCCAAAAUAUAGUUCAAAAUAAUACAUAGUCCGACUUAUUCACACUGACUCAUACUGGGCCACAACUCAGAGAUCGAGAUAUGCAGACAGAUGGCUUGAUCUGGCUAAGUUGGUUAUGAGUCCCAGAGGUUUUCUUUGGCUGUAACUUGCAUAGGUUACAGAUGAGAUUAGGUGUUCAUAAGAUUUGUUUUUUAUGCAUAAAAUUGUUGUAGUGUAUUAUGUCAGAAAUUCCCUUAAAUGGUAUCAUUUUAUAAGACGUAAAUGUUUCUAUGCUGUCUAAUAGUACCUUGUAUUGUAAUUCUGUG